CUGACACCCUGUGGUCACCAGGUGAAAACUUUGUGGUUUUCUCAAUGCAUGGUCUGUGCCUGUGGAGCACAUGCUAUCUGCUUCCCUUCAAAAGAUGAAAAGUAUAUUACCACUGAUCAUUAUAUUGCUUUAAAUUUUCUGCCCCUGGUAAUCUGUUCUAUGCAUUCUGAUCUUCAUGUUUUAAACGAUGAUUAUAUUUGCUUAAUUCCGUCCUUCCCAGAAGGAUUAGCAAUUUGUGCUUCAUGGUGCUGGAGUUUUAGAUUAAGCAAUAAAGGCAUUGGUCGACCAACAAUUGAAGCCGGAACAGUGCAGGAGGCGAUGCUGAGGGUGUUGGCAACAGUGGGGUGGACGUGGACAUGGCCAUCCUGCACUCAUGUAGUCAUGUCUACUGAUAUUGUGGGUUGAAUCAGGACAACGAUUGCUAGCACCAGAGGCUGUUCACAAGUCUUUGGUACUUCCAAAAGAUGGCAAGGAUCAGAAGGAGCUGCUCCAUUUAUUGGCUAAAAUUGCAAAAAGAAUACAGGUUGCAAGAACAUAUGCUGAAAAUUGGAUAUCACAGUGUGGUGGCCUGGUGGGUGGAUGAUUGCAUGGCACGGAAAAAGUGGAAAAUGACUCGGUUACUGACUUCUUCACAUACUUAAGACACAUGGUCCUCUAUGAAGCUGAACUGGUGAUAAAAGGAAUUUUGUUGGUGUAAGAUGAACUGUGUUUUUUCUUAGAAACGAUUCAGCCACCACUGUUUCCCAAGGAGGAGAGGUCAAGAAUGCUAAGAAGUAGCCACUGCCUAAGAAGGCUGAGAUCAGCAGCGGCGGCUCGGAAAAGGACUCUAAGUCCAAACAGGUGGUUAAGGUUCAAACAAAGAAGGGUCAUGAUGCCAGGACAGUUAAACUACUGAAACUAUUUGUAACUUUCAUAAUAUUCACACUGAAACAUCUUCAGUUGGUGUUCAAUCAUAUAACUUAAUAAUGUGAUUUUGGUUAUAAUGACCUUUAGGAGGA